rnacentral:lncRNA from 1 species
CCAUAAACAAAAUCUCUGCAGCACUGCGACAUGUUCAUGAUGGCCAUGAUGCCCACGCUGAAAGGUUGUGGGUUUACUGGAAUGACCACAAGGAACACCUGGCCCACCCAGGGCAGAAAAUCGCUUAAAGGCGUUCUUAAGCCAUAAGCAAUAGCAUGAGUGAUCUGUGCCUUAAGGACAUGCUCCUGCUGCAGAAAACUAGCCAAACCCCUCCCUUUAUUUCGGCCCAUCCCUUUAUUUCCCAUAAGGAAUACUUUUAGUUAAUCUAUAAUCUAUGGAAACAAUGCUUAUUACUGGCUUACUGUUAAUAAAUACUUGGGUAAAUCUGUGUUUGAGGCUCUCAGCUCUGAAAGCUGUGAGAACCCUGAUUUCCCACUCCACACCUCUAUAUUUCUGUGUGUGUGUGUCUUUAAUUCCUCUAGCGCUGAUGCGUUAGGGUCUCCCUGACCGAGCUGGUCUCAGCAGGCUACCAUGAAGUAAGGAGAACUACAAGGAAUAUAAGAAUAGCAGAAAUAAGGAGCAAUACUCACCCUUAGGGCUUAAGUACAGCAUCCAAGUAAGAACUUCCCAAAGAGCUGAGAUUCAUACUUCACUGGGGAGGGCAAAACAAUGGCUCACUGGAUGUCAGAAAAGGGGCUGAGAUGCUGUGCCAUUGGAACCUGAUGGCAGUCUGCUCUCUGAAGAAAACCAUCCAGAGGGAGAGGAUGACUCUGGGCACUGUGUUAACAAGAGACUGAAGGGGACAAGAGUAGAAACGGAUAACCAGUUUGGAGUCUACUGUAGCAAUUCUGGUAACAGAUGAUGACGUCGGCCAGUAACAGCAGAAGUGAAAAUAUGUGGUAGAUUAUGGGUAUAUUGUGAGGGUAAAUCUAUUUGAACUUUUUUAUGGUGUGAGAAGGAAAGAAGAAGCAUGGACGACUCUAAGAAAACUUGAUUUGAUAUGAGCUAAAAGGGGGAAGAAAAGUAAAAAGCAGGUAAAGUUCAGAGACCCGCUCUAGAUGUGAUAAAUUAAAUGUACCCAUGAAACUCCAAGGGCAGAUGUCAAGAGAGCAGUUGCAUGUAUGUGUCUGGAUUUCACGAGAAAGAUCCAGAUUGAUAAUCAUUAAUGAGUUAUUAAGACUUAAAACCAAGAGAUUCAAUAAGAUUACCAAGGAAAUGAGUGCAACUAGAGAAAAGAAGAAGAUCAUUUACUGAGACGAGGAACACUCCAAUAUUAAAACGAGGGAGGUAGAGUGGAAUCAGUAAAGACUAAGGAAUGGUCAAUAAGGAGGAUGAAAACCAGUAGAGAGUGGUGUCUUGAAAGCCCAGUGAAAAAAGCACUUCAAAAAGAAAGGAAAUAUGUGAUUUAUCAGGUUGAAUGCUGCUGAAAGGACAAAUAAAAUGAGGAUUGAGAAUUUGACCUUUGGAUUUAGUAACUUGAAAUCAUUGUUGACAAGAGCAUCUUUACUAAAAUGAUAGAAACAAAGACACAAUUUGAGUGGGUUUAAAAGAGAAUGAGAAAGGAGGAACUAGAAGUGACUAUAUGCCAUAUUUUUUAGGGGUUUUGUGGUAGAGGAGAGCAAAGAAAUGGAGUGAUAGGCUACAGGGAAAAAUAGGGUAAAGAGAGGGUUUAUUUGAGAUUAUUAAAAUAAUAGCAUAUAAGUAGAUGAAUGAAAAUAAUUCAACUGGAGAAAAAAAUUGAUGAUGCAAGAGAGGAGCAUUUCUGGAGUAAUAUUCCUGAGAAUGUGAGAAGGCUGGAAUCUGAUAAACAAUUGAAGAGGCUGUCCUUACUAGGAACACGGACACCUCAUCUACAGCAAGAGGAAAGUGAGUAUAAGGGUGAGGAUGCCAGUUGGUGGAUAGAUGUGGUGUGGGAACUUGUGGACCUCUUCUGAUUGCCACAGUUUGCUCAGUGAAAUUGAAAGCAAAUUUAUCAGCUGAGAGAGGAAGAGUGAAUUGUUGUUGAAGAUACAGAUAUUUUGCCCUUUUGGAAACUGAAGAUAAAACAGAAAAAGAAAAGAAUUUUAAGAUAUGUUAAUCUAGCAAAACUAACAUAAGAAUGGCCACCGUGAAUUUCAUGAAAUUUUGCCACAGAGCAAUACUAAAAACUGAAUGAUUAUGCCUUUUUCCAUAUUUUAAUUAAAACUGAAAUGAAAAUACUCACUGUUGGAAAGUAAAGAAAUUAAGCCAUA